rnacentral:sRNA from 1 species
UGCAGGGUUGUCUUGAGACUGUACAUG